rnacentral:rRNA from 1 species
UACGUAGGGGGCAAGCGUUGUCCGGAAUCAUUGGGCGUAAAGGGUGUGUAGGUGGCGCCGUAAGUCGGGUGUGAAAUCUCGGGGCUUAACUCCGAAACUGCAUUCGAUACUGCGGUGCUUGAGGACUGGAGAGGAGACUGGAAUUCAUGGUGUAGCAGUGAAAUGCGUAGAGAUCAUGAGGAAGACCAGUGGCGAAAGGCGGGUCUCUGGACAGUUCCUGACACUGAGACACGAAGGCAGGGAGCAAACGGG